UCGUAGUUGGAAUAUGAUUUC
rnacentral:piRNA from 1 species